AUACGGAGGGUGCAAGCGUUACUCGGAAUCACUGGGCGUAAAGCGCGCGCAGGCGGUCUUUUAAGUUGGAUGUGAAAGCCUACGGCUCAACCGUAGAACUGCAUCCAAAACUAUUAGACUAGAGUGUGGGAGAGGAAGAUGGAAUUAGUUGUGUAGGGGUAAAAUCCGUAGAGAUAACUAGGAAUACCAAAAGCGAAGGCAAUCUUCUGGAACACUACUGACGCUGAGGCGCGAAAGCGUGGGAGCAAACAGGAUUAGAAACCCUUGUAGUCC
rnacentral:rRNA from 1 species